rnacentral:rRNA from 1 species
GACGAACGCUGGCGGCGUGCCUAAUACAUGCAAGUAGGACGCAGUUGCGAACGGGUGAGUAACGCGUAGGUAACUACCUAUUAGAGGGGGAUAACUAUUGGAAACGAUAGCUAAUACCGCAUACUAGUAGAUGGACCUGCGUUGUAUUAGCUAGUAGGUCGGGUAAUGGCCUACCUAGGCAACGAUACAUAGCCGGGCUGAGAGGGUGAUCGGCCACAAUGGGACUGAGACACGGGCCAGGCUCCUACGGGAGGCAGCAGUAGGGGAUGUUCGGCAAUGGGGGGAACCCUGACCGAGGAACGCCGCGUGAUUGAAGAAGGUUUUCGUAUCGUAAAGCUAUGUUGUUAAGGAAGCGGUACUUAACCAGAAAGGGACGGCUAACUACGUGCCAGCAGCCGCGGUAAUAG